CCUACGGGCGGCAGCCGUGGGGAAUAUUGCACAAUGGGCGCAAGCCUGAUGCAGCCAUGCCGCGUGUGUGAAGAAGGCCUUCGGGUUGUAAAGCACUUUCAGCGGGGAGGAAGGCGGUGAGGUUAAUAACCUCAUCGAUUGACGUUACCCGCAGAAGAAGCACCGGCUAACUCCGUGCCAGCAGCCGCGGUAAUACGGAGGGUGCAAGCGUUAAUCGGAAUUACUGGGCGUAAAGCGCACGCAGGCGGUCUGUCAAGUCGGAUGUGAAAUCCCCGGGCGCAACCUGGGAACUGCAUUCGAAACUGGCAGGCUAGAGUCUUGUAGAGGGGGGUAGAAUUCCAGGUGUAGCGGUGAAAUGCGUAGAGAUCUGGAGGAAUACCGGUGGCGAAGGCGGCCCCCUGGACAAAGACUGACGCUCAGGUGCGAAAGCGAGGGGAGCAAACAGGAUUAGAUACCCCGGUAGUC
rnacentral:rRNA from 1 species